CUCAGUGAGUGAAGAGGGUAAUCAAUAGGGCAACAAGGAAGGAGGGCAAGUAGCCUGCAGUUCCGCGCUCCAUGGAAAGCCCUGUUUCUUGCUGAGGUCUUGCAGUUUCCUGGAUCAUGCAACUCACCAGCAGUAGAUCAAGGAAAAGAGAUGGAUGGGGUUUUCCUCAGGAAGACCUUGUCUGGAAUCUAGUAUUGAAGCUGUGCUUGAUGAGUUGCUGCCUUGAACUUUUCCACUGAUCAAUGCUGGUGCUAUGGCUGCAUGAAAGAAUAGCUUUCCUGAGGAGAAGCUAUCACAUGGGAAACACACUACACAGAGAGCCACAAGCGUGGUGAAGGUUUAAAGACUUUUGAGCAUCGCUGGGAGCAUCACAUGAACUUCAGCGCUGACACUCACCCUCAGGGGGCAAAGCUCGGCGGCGAGCGCCCAUCGGACGCCGGCGGCGGCGGCGGCGCGGCGG